UGCAAUGCUUUAUUCAGUUUGAUGCCUGUCAUGUGAAAUAUGUAUGACUGGCACCAUACUGGAUAAUGUAAUGCU
rfam:Neotoma lepida isolate 417 scaffold_1944, whole genome shotgun sequence.